rnacentral:rRNA from 1 species
AGAAUCAACGCUGGCGGCGUGCCUAACACAUGCAAGUCGAACGAGAAAGUGGAGCAAUCCAUGAGUAAAGUGGCGACCGGGUGAGUAACACGUGACUAACCUACCUUCAAGUGGGGGAUAACCUCGGGAAACCGGGCUAAUACCGCAUAACAUCUUUGGAGUGGAAAUUCUGGAGAUCAAAAGGAGUAAUUCGCUGGGAAGAGGGGGUCGCGGCUGAUUAGCUAGUUGGCGGGGUAAUGGCCCACCAAGGCUUUGAUCGGUAG